GCAGUCGUGGCCGAGUUGUUAAGGCGAUGAACUAGAAAUCCAUUGGGGUCUCCCCGCACAGGUUCGAAUCCUGUCGACUGCA
rnacentral:tRNA from 2 species